rnacentral:rRNA from 1 species
UACGAAGGAUGCAAGCGUUAUCCGGAUUUAUUGGGUUUAAAGGGUGCGUAGGCGGCCUUAUAAGUCAGUGGUGAAAUCCUAUCGCUUAACGAUAGACGUGCCAUUGAUACUGUAGGGCUUGAGUACAGAUGCCGUUGGCGGAAUGUGUCAUGUAGCGGUGAAAUGCAUAGAUAUGUCACAGAACACCGAUUGCGAAGGCAGCUUACUAUGGUUUAAUUGACACUGAGGCACGAAAGCGUGGGGAUCAAACAGG